CACUUCCGUUGAAGAGAGCGCGUCGGCGAAAGGUAGCUGCAGAGCUCUCCGUAGGUCAGGUUUGGUACUACACCGCAUAAAUGACAUUAUUCUGGUAACCAUCGACUGUAUGACUUUAUAAAACAGGUUCCCAUUAAUUCCCAUUCGUCUUCUCACUAAAGUCCUACCUUUGUCCAGCACUGGUCCGAAGAUGGCCAGGCUAUCAUUGAUGGUAGUGCAGUUCCAUCUGCGUCCGCGGAACUGGUGCUGGCACUCCUGGAUGCCGAUUUUCACCCCCUCUGCCACGCUGGGCAUUAUUUCCACAUAGUUACGGCAGAAGCGGAGCUGCUUGGGGACCAGGCCGGGGAUGGAGCUGCAGAGUAUGGGCUGGCUACCCAGUGAAGAGUACUGGUGGCCCACUGCUAGAGACCUACCGAAGACAACAAAGAGAACCUGUCGUAGGCAUUGAAGAUCUUUUGACUUGUGGGAGGAGUUCGGAUAAAGCCAUAACACAUGUUGCUAAGUGGUAAACAAACAUGAAAGACCCAGAUGAGACAGGAGCAGUACACAGAUCAAGGGUUCACGGUGCGGGACAGGUACCUUGUCAUUAAAGGCCACGACAUCCUUAAACUGUCCAAAAGUGAAAUAGGUCUGUGGCUUCACGUAAUGACACAGUGUGCAGGUCUGGCUGAGCAUCAGAGGAUGCUUGACUAACGUUGGUUUGAACUCGGCCGUGCUUUGAUGACACGAGGUUUAGAUGAUGCGUGUGCCGACACGCUUCUCACUUACAAUUUUGAGUUUCUGUCAGUGAGUUGUAGAAAGUUUGUAAACUGUCGAUACCAUUUUGGCACUACUGUAUUUUAGGAUAUUAUGUCAACAAAGACAGCUCUAACAGUUUUAACAUUAACUUUUUAUUCAUUAUCAGUUGUGUAUAUUCCUACCAAUGUCAUGUACAUGGGUUGUUUUAACGCAUGGUUGGGUCAGAUAUGAACACUUUUUUAUUGCUAAGAAAAGGUACAAAAGCUGUUACUGGGACUAUACCUUUAAAUAGGUCCUAUAUUUACUAUUCAGAUACAGAUUAUGUAUACAUUUGAAACCAAUAUGUAUUUUUGAGGUACUAAUAUCCACUCUUUUGGUACACAGAUGUACUUUUUGAAAGGGUACGGUCCCAGUGACAGCUUUUGUAUCUUUUUUCUGCAGUGUGAUCUUAUUGAAAGUCCUGUUAUAGUCACGCAAAAUUUGAUACAUUUAUUCGUGUCGAUGGCACAAAAUUCUGCUUUUUUUGUGCCUUGAGCACAAGUAUCUUUUUUGUGACACUCGCACGAAUAUCUUUUUCGUGACACUCGCACAAAUUUCUAUAAAUAGUUUUUUGUGUCUGUUGUACGACUUUUUUCGUGUCAUUUUAUGUAUUGUUUUCUCAUUGUUUUUUCCGAUUUUCUUACCAUUGACGCUUGGGGUUGGGGUUAGAAUCAAUUUCUGUUAAAUUUUUAGACAUCCUAACCCAAACCCCAACUCUAACCCCAACUCCAGGCGGGAAUAGUUUUAAAAGUGGAAGAAAAACAUGUAGAAACCAAUACAUAAAAUUUCAUCCCUACCCAAACUCCA